AAGUCUCCAAGGUGCAACUUUCUCUGCCUUGGUUAUGACACUCUUUUGUCAUCCAAAAUGUCAUUUCCUUGUUUUGUAGCACAGUGGACUACUGAUGUACCCUCAAGACUACCUGAGUCAGUUAGCUGAUCUCUUCAUAUGUAUAACUACUGACUAGUUAAUUAUUCUGUAUAUCAAUUUAUGCAGCUGAAUAUGUCUACUAAUACAAAGAAUUUUGUUCUUGUUCUUACCAAAUUGUUUCUUCUGUACUCAGUAGUCCUUUGUUCCAUCUAGUCACAUGCUUUUUUAAAUUGUUAAUCUUAUUUUCUGAUGUUACUGAGACUUUCUAGCUUAGUGACUCCUUAGAAUUAAAUAAUGGUCCAUAGUCUGGGAUCGCAAAUGAAAAUACUGAAUUGAGAAAGUUCUGUGAAAUUUCACUUUUAGAUAGAUUGUUUCAUUGGUUCAUAAAGUAUGAGUGCAUUUUUUCUCCCAAUUUUGUACUUAUCUAACAUUUUUUGUCCCUUGAUUUGCCUACAGUUGCGCUCUGUAAGACAGAAUCCUUGCUUUAUUCAAGAUAUAUAUGCUGCAUUAAUUAUUAUUGUCAUUAGUACCAGAUAAAAUUACGUAUGCAGAUGACAUGAAGCUGGGAAGAGCUGUCGAUCUGCCUGGGGGUGGGAAGGCUUUUCAGAGGAGUCUGGACAGGCAGAAUCACUGGGCUGAGGAAUGAGAUGAAGUUCAACAACACCAAGUGCUGGGUCCUGUGCUUUGGUCACAAUAGCUCCAGGCAACGCUACAGGCUUGGGGUGUUGGUCGACGCUUGGCUGAGCAUGAGCCAGCAGUGUGCUCAGGUGGCCAAAAUGGCCAGCAGCUUCCUGGAUCGUAUAAGAAAUAGUGCAGCUAGCAGGAGCAGGGCGGUGAUAAUCUCCCUGUAGUCAGCCUUGGUGAGGCUACACCUUCAGAACUGUGUUCAGUUUUGGGCCCCUCACUACAAGAAAGACAUGGAGGCCCUGGAGUGUGUCCCAAGAAGGGCAAUGAAGCUGUGAGGGGACAGGGCACAAGCCUUAUGGGAAGCAGUUGAGAGAACUGGGAUUGUUCGGUCUGGAGAAGAGGAGGCUCACAGGAGACAUUAUUGCCCUCUACAUCUACCUGAAAGGAGGUUGUGGCAAGGCAGCAGCUGCUGGACCUCUCAGUGACACCAAAUGGCAACAUCUUUCCAAGAUAAAGCACUUCCAACGGAAGGUCACUUACAAAUUGCAGAUCUUGAUGAAUUAAUGCCAAGGCCUGGAGCAUCCUGAGAAAUGAGGAAGAAGAAGUACCAGUCAGGUUCACAGUCUGCACCUGAUUAUUACUGUUACGACCAAAUCACAAACUGUAGUAAAUCCACUUGACAACUUCAAAGUCUCUGGUCCUCAAUAUUUCAAGGAUAGUCAUGAUCCAUGAGAGAAUUACACAUCCUAAGGAAAUGCUAAUAGAGUAUUACAAACUACACGCAGCAAAAGUGAUUGAUCUAACUAUGGUGUGAAAGAUGACCAAACGCAGUUC